AUGACAGGGCGCCGCGACAUGCUCUCGGAGCUCGACGAGACAGUACGAGGUACAGUUCGCUUCGGUGAUGGCUCUGUCGUGCAGAUCUAUGGACGCAACGUUGUGCUAUUUUGGUGCCGUAGCGGAGAACAUCGGGCACUCGCGGACGUGUACUACAUCCCACAGCUGCGCACGAGCAUCGUCAGCAUCGGUCAACUUGACGAGCACGGGUGCAGGACCGUCAUUGAGGAAGGCGAGCUUUGUCUGUACGACAGGCAGAAGCUGCUACUGGCGCGGGUGCGGCGGACGAGCAACCGGCUUUACGCCGUGGCUCUGAACUUGGCCGCUCCCGUGUGCCUGCUCGCCGGAGUCCAGGACGAGGCCUGGAGGUGGCAUGCCAGGUUUGGGCACCUGCACUUCCGCGCGCUGCACGAACUCGGGGCGAAGACCAUGGUGCGCGGGAUGCCAUCGAUCGCGCACCUCGACCAGUUCUGUGAGGGCUGCACCAUUGGGAAGAUGCAUCGGACGCCCUUCCCGCGCGCGUCGGCGUACCGCACUGAGGGCGCGCUCGAGCUCGUUCAUGGUGAUCUGUGCGGGCCAAUCACUCCAACGACGGCCAGCGGUAACAAGUAUUUCCUGUUGAUCGUUGAUGAUUUCAGUAGAUACAUGUGGCUUGAGGUAUUGAAGAGCAAAGAUGAGGCGUUUUGCUACUUCAAGAAGAUUAAGGCGCUGGCGGAGACAUAG
rnacentral:rRNA from 1 species